rnacentral:rRNA from 1 species
UAGGGAAUAUUGCUUAAUGUGCGAAAGCGCGAAGCAGCAACGCCGCGUGUGCGAUGAAGGCCUUCGGGUCGUAAAGCACUUUUUAGAGGGAUGAGAAAGGACAGUACCUCUAGAAUAAGCCUCGGCUAACUACGUGCCAGCAGCCGCGGUAAAACGUAGGAGGCGAGCGUUAUCCGGAAUUACUGGGCGUAAAGCGCGUGCAGGCGGUUCGGUUAGUUGGAUGUGAAAGCUCCUGGCUUAACUGGGAGAGGUCGUUCAAUACUGCCGGACUUGAGAGUGGUAGAGGGAGAUGGAAUUCCGCAUGUAGUGGUGAAAUGCGUAGAUAUGCGGAGGAACACCAGUGGCGAAAGCGGUCUCCUGGCCCACUUCUGACGCUCAGACGCGAAAGCUAGGGUAGCAAACGGG